CUUACAUGUUAGAGGGAGUGGGGUAUAGUGACACAGUAACAGAGGGAUUGAGGGUCCUGCUCAGUGAGUUUACAUGUUAGAGGGAGUGGGGUAUAGUGACAGUAACAGAGGGAUUGAGGGCCCUGCUCAGUGAGUUUACAUGUUAGAGGGAGUGGGGUAUAGUGACACAGUAACAGAGGGAUUGAGGGACUACUCAGUGAGUUUACAUGUUAGAGGGAGUGGGGUAUAGUGACACAGUAACAGAGGGAUUGAGGCCUUGCUCAGUGAGCUUACAUGUUAGAGGGAGUGGCGUAUAGUGACACAGUAACAGAGGGAUUGAGGGCCCUGCUCAGUGAGUUUGCAUGUUAGAGGGAGUGGGGUAUAGUAACACAGUAACAGAGGGAUUGAGGGCCUGCUCAGUGAGUUUACAUGUUAGAGGGAGUGGGGUAUAGUGACACAGUAACAGAGGGAUUGAGGGCCCUGCUCAGUGAGUUUACAUGUUAGAGGGAGUGGGGUAUAGUGACACAGUAACAGAGGGAUUGAGGGCCUGCUCAGUGAGUUUACAUGUUAGAGGGAGUGGGGUAUAGUGGCACAGUAACAGAGGGAUUGAGGGCCUGCUCAGUGAGUUUACAUGUUAGAGGGAGUGGGGUAUAGUGACACAGUAACAGAGGGAUUGAGGGCCCUGCUCAGUGAGUUUACAUGUUAGAGGGAGUGGGGUAUAGUGACACAGUAACAGAGGGAUUGAGGGCCCUGCUCAGUGAGUUUACAUGUUAGAGAGAGUGGGGUAUAGUGACACAGUAACAGAGGGAUUGAGGGCCCUGCUCAGUGAGUUUACAUGUUAGAGGGAGUGGGGUAUAGUGACAGUAACAGAGGGAUUUUUCUUACAAUCAAUACAUUUGCUAGAAUGUCUGCGAACACUCUGUUCAGGUGGAAUAUUAUGUACGUUUAGACUGGAAGCUGGUUUAUAUAUUGUACAGCGAUGCGGAAUAUGUUGGUGCUAUAUAAUAAUUGUAUGAGUGUACCAUGACAGGUACAUAUUAUGCAAACACCCCGUGCACUAUAACCAUCUUAGCUUAUUGUAGUUUUGGAACCUUAUUGUAGGUUUGGAACCUCGGAAGUACCUAAUGUUAUUUUUUAUAUUCCUUAAAUGUAGCUAAUUCUCAGGAUCUGAUGUUCUGUGUUAGUAUAAUGUGUAUUCUAAUUCUACCGGUGACAGGUAGGCUAUGAUAACAAGGAGGGUUAAAUCCAGCUCUCCUGUUUGUAUUAUUAGCAGAGUAACAAUGCGUUAUUUAACUUUUAUUAUUGUGAUUGUGUUUAAUGGUGAGAGCUGAUAGACUGGUUAAUAAACGGUUAAUAAAUGGUUAAUAAAUCCUAUUUGUAUUAUUAGCAGUGUUAUAAUAAUAUUUGUGAUUAUGGUUAAUGGUGAGAGCUGAUAGACUGGUUAAUAAAUGGUUAAUAAAUCCUAUUUGUAUUAUUAGCAGUGUUAUAAUAAUAUUUGUGAUUAUGGUUAAUGGUGAGAGCUGAUAGACUGGUCAAUAAAUGGUUAAUAAAUCCUGUUUGUAUUAUUAGCAGUGUUAUAAUAAUAUUUGUGAUUAUGGUUAAUGGUGAGAGCUGAUAGUCUGGUCAGUAAAUGGUUAAUAAAUCCUAUUUGUAUUGUUAGCAGUGUUAUAAUAAUAUUUGUGAUUAUGGUUAAUGGGGAGAGCUGAUAGACUGGUUAAUAAAUGGUUAAUAGAAUUCUCAUUCUUUAAGAAAUACAUUGUAUCCAGUGAGAGAGCUCAGAGGGGAAACCACGCCCAUCCCCAGAGUGAUCCAAUCAGUGCUGUGUUGUACGCCCCGCCCCGCUCGCAGUGCGUGCUGUGAUUGGCUGGGCGGGGUUGAUUGGCAGGUGGAGAGCUGAGCUGUCAGGCUGUGUCCGCCAUGUCUGGCAGGAAGGGAGAUCGUUACUCAGUGCUGCUACCGACCUACAACGAACGGGACAACCUACCGCUCAUAGUCUGGCUGCUGGUCAAAUGCUUCAAAGAGAGGUGGGGCCCCUGGGACUGUGUGUGGCCCUUACUGACCCAGACUGGCCCCUGGGACUGUGUGUGGCCCCUACUGACCCAGACUGGCCCCUGGGACUGUGUGUGGCCCCUACUGGCCCUUGGGACUGUGUGUGGCCCCUACUGACCUCAGACUGGCCCCUGGAACUGUGUGUGGCCCCUACUGGCCCCUGGGACUGUGUGUGGCCCUUACUGGCCCCUGGGACUGUGUGUGGCCCCUACUGACCCAGACUGGCCCCUAGGACUGUGUGUGGCCCCUACUGACCUCAGACUGGCCCCUGGGACUGUGUGUUGCCCCUACUGACCCAGACUGGCUCCUGGGACUGUGUGUGGCCCCUACUGGCCCCUGGGACUGUGUGUGGCCCUUACUGGCCCCUGGGACUGUGUGUGGCCCUUACUGGCCCCUGGGACUGUGUGUGGCCCCUACUGACCCAGACUGGCCCCUGGGACUGUGUGUGGCCCCUACUGGCCCCUGGGACUGUGUGUGGCCCCUACUGGCCCCUGGGACUGUGUGUGGCCCUUACUGGCCCCUGGGACUGUGUGUGGCCCCUACUGACCUCAGACUGGCCCCUGGGACUGUGUGUGGUCCCUACUGACCUCAGACUGGCCCCUGGGACUGUGUGUGGCCCCUACUGGCCUCAGACUGGCCCCUACUGGCAAUGGACUGGCCCCUCUGGGACUGUGUGUGGCCCUGACUCGAGACUGGCCUGGGACUGUGCGUGGCCCCUACUGGCCUCAGACUGGCCCCUGGGACUGUCGUGGCCCCUACUGAUCCAGACUGGCCCUGGGACUAUGUGCAUUUCCACUGGCCCCUGGGACUGUGCGUGGCCCCUACUGGCCCCUGGGACUGUGUGUGACCCCUACUGACCCAGAUUGGCCCCUGGGACUGUGUGUGACCCCUACUGACCCAGACUGGCCCCUGGGACUGUGUGUGGCCCCUACUGACCUCAGACUGGCCCCUGGGACUGUGUGUGGCCCCUACUGACCUCAGACUGGCCCCUGGGACUGUGCGUGGCCCCUACUGGCCUCAGACUGGCCCCUGGGANNNNNNNNNNNNNNNNNNNNNNNNNNNNNNNNNNNNNNNNNNNNNNNNNNNNNNNNNNNNNNNNNNNNNNNNNNNNNNNNNNNNNNNNNNNNNNNNNNNNUUUUUAAGUAUUCUCUGUUCUAUAUAAAUGCAUAAAUCCCUGUUCACUUCCUAUAACAAAUUGCGCUGAGCUAUAGGAAGCUGUUCGCUGUGAGGACCUGGCACAAUGACUGCACAUGCCAAGGUGGAGAUUGUAUGAUGUCAUAAAGUGUACAAAAAUCAUACAAAUAUUGCUACAAGUAGGAGCAGAAGAUAUAACUUCACCUAUUACGUUAUUAUUUAUAUUAUGUUAUUAUUUAUAUAGCGCUAACAGAUUCCAUAGCGCUUUACAGUGGGUGGACGACAAACAUGUAGUUGUGAAGAAAAAAAAAGGGACUAGAAGGUGGCAGGUAAGACCGGCACCCUAACAGACCUAGUAUCCUUGAAAGGAGGGUAGCUCUUAGAGUAACUGGACAGGUGCCUAAUUAUAGAGCGAAAAAGUAAGAACUAGGUGAACUUUAAUGGUCCCUCAUAAGGAGCAGAAAUAGAAAAUAAUAAAUAAAAGUGAAAGGAAUGUGUACUAACUAAAUAGAUAAUAAAUAACAAGACAUAAAAGCAGGAUUCGCUGUCUACAAAGUCCAUAUACUUUUAGCAGCUUUUGUCUGCUAAAUUAUAAUUUUGCAACUUGCCUGCUUGAGGUGUACCUGCCUCUAGACGAAUACCAUCUAUUUAAUGGUGGAAUUGGUGUGAUCUAAUCUACUACACCCUCAGAUAAUCACCUUGGCUACCAACUGGGUCACUAUCCGCUCAUAUUUGUAGCGGUUUAUCCACUGACCCUCUACCCUCUUUCAUACUGGUGUAUCUAUUUACUAUGUUACCGGGUAUUACAACUGUGGCUCACAGGUCUUUUCUCUAAUAUUCUCGAUAGAAUUCAGGGACUAUCAUCACAUACUGCCACAAAUACCCGUUCACCUAACACUGUCUUUAUAUAUCCUUGAGGGUUAAUAAUGGCUAGUGACACGGUAACAGAGGGAUUGAGGGCCUGCUCAGUGAGGUUACAUGUUAGAGGGAGUGGGGUAUAGUGACACAGUAACAGAGGGAUUGAGGGCCCUACUCAGUGAGCUUACAUGCUAGAGGGAGUGGGGUAUAGUGACACAGUAACAGAGAUUUGGGGAGCCUGCUCAGUGAGUUUACAUGUUAGAGGGAGUGGGGGUAUAGUGACAGUAACAGAGGGAUUGAGGGCCCUGCUCAUUGAGUUUACAUGUUAGAGGGAGUGGGGUAUAGUGACACAGUAACAGAGGGACUGAGGCCCUGCUCAGUGAGUUUACAUGUUAGAGGGAGUAUUUAUAGUUACACAGUAACAGAGGGAUUGAGGGCCUGCUCAGUAAGCUUACAUGUUAGAGGGAGUGACACAGUAACAGAGGGGUUGAGGGCCCUGCUCAGUAAGCUUACAUGUUAGAGGGAGUGGGGUAUAGUGACACAGUAACAGAGGGAUUGAGGGCCUGCUCAGUGAGUUUACAUGUUAGAGGGAGUGGGAUUGAGGGCCUGCUCAGUGAGUUUACAUGUUAGAGGGAGUGGGGUAUAGUGACAGUAACAGAGGGAUUGGGGGCCCUGCUCAGUGAGUUUACAUGUUAGAGGGAGUGGGGUAUAGUGACACAGUAACAGGGGGAUUCAGGGAGUCCUCAGUGAGUUUACAUGUUAGAGGGAGUGGGGUAUAGUGACACAGUAACAGAGGGAUUGAGGGCCUGCUCAGUGAGUUUACAUGUUAGAGGGAGUGGGGUAUAGUGACAC
rnacentral:lncRNA from 1 species